UACGAAGGGGGCUAGCGUUGCUCGGAAUCACUGGGCUUAAAGGGCGCGUAGGCGGGCUGUCAAGUCUGGGGUGAAAUCCCACGGCUCAACCGUGGAACUGCCUUAGAUACUGACGGCCUCGAGGAAGGUAGGGGCAUGCGGAACUGUAGGUGGAGCGGUGAAAUGCGUUGAUAUCUACAGGAACUCCGGUGGCGAAAGCGGCGUGCUGGACCCUUUCUGACGCUGAGGCGCGAAAGCUAGGGGAGCAAACGGG
rnacentral:rRNA from 1 species